GCGGAGGAAAAGAAACUAACAAGGAUUCCCCCAGUAACGGCGAGUGAAGAGGGAACAGCUCAGAUUUAAAACCUGGUGGGCACCGCCUACCCGGAUUGUAAUCUAUGUUGCGCAAGUGCCGAGAUUAGAAUGGUCAACAAGUCCUUUGGAAUAAGGCUUCAAAGAGGGUGACAAUCCCGUUUUUGGCCCAUUUUGGUUCAUAGUGCACUGGCAACCGCGAGUCAGGUUGUUUGGGAAUGCAGCCUAAAUCGGGUGGUAAAUCCCAUCUAAAGCUAAAUAUUGGCGAGAGACCGAUAGCGAACAAGUACCGUGAGGGAAAGAUGAAAAGAACUUUGAAAAGAGAGUUAAACAGUAUGUGAAAUUGCUGAAAGGGAAGCGUUUGCAGCCAGUGGGGUCAAACCGCGGUUUGUUGGGUGUGAUAAUUGUUUUGAUGACACCCGACAGACUCGGAUUGGCGUAAUGGCUGUCAACGAC
rnacentral:rRNA from 1 species